rnacentral:rRNA from 1 species
AUGGAAGCACCAAAAUAUCCGAUCAACCACCACGGCACCACCGCAAGCACCGCCCCAGCUGCAACGCCUGCGCCCUCUCCCCUCUCGCUCUCUCUAAACCCCAGGUACCGCGGCGCGGCGAACGCCGGCGAGAUGGCAGGAGCCCUCGCGCGACCGCGCAACGCUAGCGACGACCGCAUCAACGAGCUACCGGAAGUGCUCCUCUCGGACAUCCUCUCCCGCCUCGGUACCGCAGAAGCGGCCCGCACCGUCGUCCUCUCCACGCGCCUCCACGACGCGUGGCUCGCGACCCCCCUCCGCCUCGACGACCUGGAGCUCCCCGUCCCCGCACGCGGCAAGGUCCCCUCGAUCGAGCCCUGGACGGCGCGCGCCGACGUCGUCACCCGCGCCCUAGCCUCCCACCCCGGCCCCGUCGCGCUCUUCCGCCUCUCCCGGACCUCCUUCCGCGGCCGCGUCCCCGCCGCCGAGGCCUGGUUCCGGAAGCUCGCCGCCAAGCGGGCCCGCGAGGUCUCCCUCUGCUUCUCGCCCGAGUGGUGCCACGACGCGCUCGCCGACCCCCUUCUCGGCUGCCCAACCCUCCAGGUCCUCGCCCUUGGCAAGUGCCACCUCUCCGACGCCGGGGCCUCAGCCGCCGCCGCCGCCGCCCUCACCGAGCUCACCCUGUCGGAAACCUGCAUUUCCGAGGCCGCCCUUCAGAGCGUACUCUCCGGCUGCCCCGCGCUGCGCAGCCUCGUGCUCAAGCACGUCCACGGCCUUCAGCGCAUCCGCGUCUCUUCUUGCCGCAGUCUCGUUCUGCUCGGUGUGUGGCACUACAAGCAGCUCGACGAGAUCACCGUGGAGGAUGCCCCUUGCCUCGAGCGCCUUCUCGGCAAUAUGCGUCUGAAUGCAGCCAUUACCGUCACUGGCGCGCCAAAGCUUACUGCUUUUGGCUAUGCCGUGGUCAGCAUCCCGCAUUUGUUCCACGGCGAGCGUGCGCCGCAGGGCGUCAACAAGGGUCUGCGUGCCCCGAUCCAUAGCGUGAAGAUCCUGGCUAUCAGUGUGAAGUUCUCAAGCAAGAAGGACAUGGAGAAGGUGAUGAGCUUACUCGACAGCUUUCCCUGCUUGGAGACUUUGCAUUUCCAGUCCUCAGAUUACAGGUCAGGUGCAGACAAGGAUUGCACCACUGUCUCUGACUACAUCCAGAAGCGUUAUCCCAUCAGAGCACAUGUGCUGCAGUUCAUGAGGAUUCAGUCCGAGAUGUGCGACAUUCCAAAAUGGGUUACAGAGCAGCAAAAUCUGCUCAGCCAAAGCAACAUGGCCUCCUUGGAAGCUGAGGUCGUGUUUGAGGGUAUGAAACAACGCAAGGACUUCACCAUAGAAGGUGUGAAUGCUCUAUCUGACCCCUUUGACGGUGGCAUCAACAUCUUGGGGCACUAA